GAUGAACGCUGACAGAAUGCUUAACACAUGCAAGUCUUUGGCGAAGCUGUGCUUGCACAGCCUAGCCAAGGCGGACGGGUGAGUAACGCGUAAGGAACUUGCCCUGCAGUCAGGGAUAACAGACGGAAACGACUGAUAAGACCUGGUAAAGUCAGGCGGACUCAUGUCCAGCCUGAUGAAAAGAGAUGCUGCAGGAGAGCCUUGCGUCCUAUUAGCUUGUUGGUGGGGUAACGGCCCACCAAGGCGAUGAUAGGUAGCCGGCCUGAGAGGGUGGACGGCCACAAGGGGACUGGGAUACGGCCCUUACUCCUACGGGGGGCAGGAGGGGGGAAAAUUGGAAAAUGGGGGAAACCCUGAUCCAGCAAUUCUGGGGGCAAGAAGAAGGUUUUGGGUUUGAAAAGGGCUUUCAGAAGGGAAGAAAAAAAUGCGGGUCCCGGAAAAAGAAGCGACGGCUAAAUACGG
rnacentral:rRNA from 1 species